rnacentral:rRNA from 1 species
UACAGAGGUCUCAAGCGUUGUUCGGAUUCAUUGGGCGUAAAGGGUGCGUAGGUGGCGGGGUAAGUCUGGUGUGAAAUCUCGGGGCUCAACCCCGAAACUGCACUGGAUACUGCCUUGCUCGAGUACUGGAGAGGAGAUUGGAAUUUACGGUGUAGCAGUGAAAUGCGUAGAUAUCGUAAGGAAGACCAGUGGCGAAGGCGAGUCUCUGGCACGCAUCUGACGCUGAAACACGAAAGCCAGGGGAGCGAACGGG